rnacentral:rRNA from 1 species
AAAAUGGGAGGGAAAUUUCUCAUAAGGCUACAUAACGGCGAGAGACCGAUAGUGAACAAGUACCGUGAGGGAAAGAUGAAAAGAACUUUGAAAAGAGAGUUAAUCAGUACGUCAAAUUGCCAAAGGGAAACGAUUGAAGCCAGUCGUACCUUCGGGUAAUCAGCCUUUCGGGUGCGAUUGAGUGGAGUGUGAGGAGCCUAAACACCUUCAUGUUUCGCAUCUUUGUACUGUUUGGCGUACUUGCCCGUGUGGUUGGUUAACAUCAAUUUUGGUGGUCAUAAAAUGACUGGGGGAAUGUAGCUUCGAUCUUGUAUUGAAGUGUUAUAGCCUUUGGUAGAUGCGAUGAUCGAGAUUGAGGAUUGCAACGGAUACCCUUCGGGGCUACCUGUCUGGUCUCUGAUCGUUGCUCUGGUGCCGAAAGCUUGCUUACGGUUAUCAAAGUCGAUGGUCAAUAGGUUAGAACGGGUCAACUUCGUUAAGGAGCGACGUAAGG